UCCCUGGAGGACUAGUGGUUAGGCCAUGGCGCUCUCAUCGCCGCAGCCCAGGUUCAAUUCCCUGCCAGUGAA
rnacentral:tRNA from 1 species